GACGAACGCUGGCGGCGUGCUUAACACAUGCAAGUCGAACGGUGAAGCGCCUUCCUUUUUGGUGGGUGUGGAUGAGUGGCGAACGGGUGAGUAACACGUGAGUAACCUGCCCCCUUCUUCUGGAUAACCGCAUGAAAGUGUGGCUAAUACGUGAUAUUCUGGGUCUGUCGCAUGAUGGGUCUGGGAAAGAUAUUGUUUCGGUGGGGGAUGGGCUCGCGGCCUAUCAGCUUGUUGGUGGGGUGAUGGCCUACCAAGGCGGUGACGGGUAGCCGGCCUGAGAGGGUGGACGGUCACACUGGGACUGAGACACGGCCCAGACUCCUACGGGAGGCAGCAGUGGGGAAUAUUGCACAAUGGGCGCAAGCCUGAUGCAGCGACGCCGCGUGAGGGAUGGAGGCCUGCGGGUUGUGAACCUCUUUCGCCAGUGAAGCAGGCCUGCCUCGUUUGUGGGUGGGUUGACGGUAGCUGGAUAAGAAGCGCCGGCUAACUACGUG
rnacentral:rRNA from 1 species